AUUAUUGUGUCCAGUUAGUACAAUUUAUUUAAAUUUGCCUUGCUAACUUCAGUAGCUAGCUAGCUACCAGCGCGAGUUUGUAGUUUUCUCUGCCAGAAUGGUAGAAUGGCCAAUGCUGCCGAAAAUGUUGUGGACUUUUUGUUGAAGAACCCCUUUCAUUUUCUGGGGUACAGGGAAAAGUUGCGAAUUAAAUGCAGGGGUUGACCUCUGCCUGAGAUCAGUUUCAUGAAGAAGGAUGAAAAGUUGAGGGCGUUCAAUACCAACUGGUAUCAAAAGUAUAUCUGGUUAACAGGGAACUUUCAUCACGCCGCCUUUAUUGCUGACCUUGCCUGCUUUUGGAAAGUCGGAGCCUUGGUCGAAAGGUGGGUACAGUGACCUGAAGAACAUUGAUCGUUCAGCUAAAUGGCAAAACAAAAGCAGGGAGCAUAUACAUGCCCACAUCAGAUUCAAGCUUCAGGGAAAAAGCUGCAUCGAUUAUGAUGAAGGUCUGCGUAUUCAAACUGCGCAACACAACGAGAAAGUAAGAAGAAACAGGGAUGUUAUCAAGCUGCUUAUCAACACAACUGCGUUUUUGGGCAUGCAAUAAUUUACUUUUAGAGGACACGACGAGAGGGAAAGUUCCACCAACAAGGGCAACUACAAGGAGCUUGCAGAGCUAAGUCCCCUCCUGUUCCCUGAUUUAAGAGGUGAUGACUACUCCACUUGACUACCAUAGUCAACUUUCUCCUGACAAUAACUGAAGACCCUUCUCAUGUGGCCGCUCAUCCACUGGCACAUUGAAUGUUUCCCCUCCAAGCACUUCAAAUCCUGUCCUGCACUGAACGCGUCUCCUUCCUGAGC